rnacentral:lncRNA from 1 species
ACAGCUUUAAAAAUUUUUAUUUUUUAGAGGGAAUUUACUUGGGAGUAACAGCAGUAAUAGUUAACGGAGCCAGAAUGCUUGAGUCAUAUAAUUGCAAAGCAGAGUUGGGAGCAACAGAUGCUAAAGAGUAGUUGCUGUAGUUCCUCUUUGGGUCGUAGGAGCAGUUGUCAUAUUCCUAUAUAGCUACUGCAUGAAGAAGAGUUCUUAGUGAGGCCUGGGUGAACAGCUCUUCUUAGUAUUCUGUGUGACCCCAUUUGACCUUUUAACAAAUCCCUAAGUAAAUAAAUAGCCCCUCAGGAAAACUAAGUUUUUCUCUGCUGUUUUUUUGCUUGAGAGAGCUAUAACUGUAAUAGACUUAUAUUUCUGAACAUUUUAGUGCUUGCCAAUAUUUGGUAAUAUUUAUGUUUCCUAUAUUUGUAAUGAACAUUCUUCUUCCGGUACAUUUUUUGUUAAAUUAUUGUUUGAUGGAUAAAAGUUCACCUUUUAUUGUAUAAAAUUGACUGAGAUUAAUUUAUACACAUUGACAAUGGGUAAAUACAAUUUUUCAGAUUAUUAAAAGCUGAAGGAUGCCCACGUAAGCAAAAAAAAAAAAGAAAAAACCAACAAAAAUAAACCCAAACCCCUCAAACAAUUUCGAACACGAAACAUUCUUCUGAUGCCGGCAUCCCUGCUUGCAGGUGUGAAGGGGGCAGGAAUCAGCGAGGUGUCCUGGGCUGAGUCCCCGGAGUGGGAAGAGGUGGCAGGAAGGGGAUCUGAGGAGGAGAACAGGGGUCCUGGUGGUCUGUGCUUCUUCCCAGACAUGGGAGCUGUAGAGGAGACCUCUGCAGCAGAUGCUAGGGGGGCCAGUAGGCCCAGGCAGUCUUGGGACUUGGGUCUGUCCUGCUGUGCAUCCAUAGUGGGUGCUUUAGAAACGGGAGGCCCACCCGAAGCCCCUGUUGCAAGUGAGGACAAAGUGUGGGAAGGCCGUGAGGGUCUGCAGUCCGAGAUGGCCUUGUCCUCAACGUGCAGUGCACUGUUGAUGCGCUGGAAUGCCUUCUCUUUUUCCAGGUGCAGGUCUUCAGCCGUGACCCGGUACCCCAGCUCUAAGGGAGGUGGCAGCAUCAAAGGCUCCCCUCGCCUGCGUGGCAGCAGGGGAAUCUUGCGUCUACGGGGCCUAGAGUCCUGGGAUCUGGGGGAGCCACCCGUUGGGGCGAUUGUCUGCCCUGGUGCUGUAUCUGCCCCCUUUUCACACCGUGUGUGACCCGAAGAGACAGCCUGAGGCCUGUCCUCACUCACUGUCUUUGAGUAACUGAGGGUCAGCUGGCAGCGGGAUGAGGCUGGCCCCCUCCUCUGCUUUAGCCCCGGCAAGCCUCCCGUGGAGCUGUAGGAGCUGGAGAUGGCAUUUCGUUUGGUGCUCGAGCUCGUCCAGGAUGUCUGGGAUGUGUGGUUAUAUCUGAUUUCUGAGCUCUGGGCGUGGAGGUCUGUCUGCAGAGGCCCGGGCCUGGGCACAAAGGGAGAGGGGCCUCCAUUGUCCCGCAGGGGCCAAAAUGCAGACCGUGCAUCCCCGGUGACCUCGGGGACCGUUCUCUGAUCAUCAGGAUUUUCUUGGACUCUGGGGUCCUUGUGCUGCUCAGGCAUCCCUGCCCCGCUCUCCUUGAGGGCCCUCAACACUAUCUUCCCUGGACACAAGUCUGGGGACAGCCGGGUGUUGUGGACCCCAAAGGGGUGACUACCUGCUCCUGGGCCCCACAGAGUCCUUGUGCUCAGUGUAGUGGCUGAGCUGGGGGAUGCCCUGGAACUCAGAGCACACAGCACUGGCUUACUGUGGUACCUGUGCAGUGAAGUUGAAGACAGAAUCACCAGGAUGGAACACAGGUCUUGCAGGAUCACGGAAAACCUUCUUAGAGUUGUCUUGACACCACUGAUGUCGAGUGUGCGGGUGUUUGUAGGAUGGCCUGCCACUCAGUCCAGGGGCAGGAGCAACGGGGAGAUCCCACAAGCAAAGUGAACUGGGGGAUGGGCUGAAGGGGCUCCAGGCAACUGAGCCCUACUCGCAGGUCCUCGGCCUUGGCCCAAACAGGAAUGAGGGGCACAGAGUGCCCGGGUAACCGCUCCUGGGAGCAGUGGGGAACUGUCGGAUACUUGAACUCUCAAGAGCUGGGCUCUGAGCGUCCUCGUCCAGC